rnacentral:misc_RNA from 1 species
CAACCCUCAGGCCCCUCCGGGCGGCCUGGUGUUGGGGACCGGCGGACGGGGGGCUCGGUGGCUCGUCUCUCCUCUGGAGGGCGUCCCCCUCGCUCCCCCCUCAGCCCGCCGCCCCCGAAAUGAAUUGGCGGUCUCGUCGCGGCCUCCCCUGCGUAGUAGCACAACCUCGCAACGGGAGCGCGGCGCGGCCACUGCCGUAAAACGCACCAACUUUUUCAAG